rnacentral:rRNA from 1 species
UCUGGCGGCAGUAGCGCGGUGGUCCCACCUGACCCCAUGCCGAACUCAGAAGUGAAACGCCGUAGCGCCGAUGGUAGUGUGGGGUCUCCUGAGGAGGACAAAUCCGCCGGGA